GACGAACGCUGGCGGCAUGCCUAAUACAUGCAAGUCGAGCGGACUUGAUGAGAAGCUUGCUUCUCAGAUAGUUAGCGGCGGACGGGUGAGUAACACGUAGGCAACCUGCCCUCAAGCUUGGGACAACUACCGGAAACGGUAGCUAAUACCGAAUACUUGCUUUCUUCGCCUGAAGGAAACUGGAAAGACGGAGUAAUCUGUCACUUGGGGAUGGGCCUGCGGCGCAUUAGCUAGUUGGUGAGGUAACGGCGCACCAAGGCGACGAUGCGUAGCCGACCUGAGAGGGGGAGCGGCCACACUGGGACGGAGACACGGCCCAGACUCCUACGGGAGGCAGCAGUAGGGAAGCUUCCGCAAUGGGCGAAAGCCUGACGGAGCAAUGCCGCGUGAGUGAUGAAGGUUUUCGGAUCGUAAAGCUCUGUUGCCAGGGAAGAACGCUUGGGAGAGUAACUGCUCCCAAGGUGACGGUACCUGAGAAGAAAGCCCCGGCUAACUACGUGCCAGCCGCCGCCGUAA
rnacentral:rRNA from 1 species